AAGAUCAUACUUCAUAGGAUCAUUUCUAUAGUAUGAUUAGCGAGUUCACUCACCGAACUUCGCAGAAAACCCAACCACGAUGAUGAGGAAUGGGGCUUUCUCCUGAGCGUGAAGCGGUUGCGUAACUUCUAUCGAAGUGAGCAACAUUGAUGAUCGCACUAUUUGGCAUUGCGCCAGAUGGAUGGAAAAAGCUCGUUCUGAAUGGU
rnacentral:snoRNA from 1 species